AUUGAACGCUGGCGGCAUGCUUUACACAUGCAAGUCGAACGGCAGCGCGGGCUUCGGCCUGGCGGCGAGUGGCGAACGGGUGAGUAAUACACCGGAACGUGCCCAGUAGUGGGGGAUAGCUCGGCGAAAGCCGGAUUAAUACCGCAUACGACCUGAGGGUGAAAGCGGGGGAUCUUCGGACCUCGCGCUAUUGGAGCGGCCGACGGCAGAUUAGCUAGUUGGUGGGGUAAAGGCCUACCAAGGCGACGAUCUGUAGCUGGUCUGAGAGGACGACCAGCCACACUGGGACUGAGACACGGCCCAGACUCCUACGGGAGGCAGCAGUGGGGAAUUUUGGACAAUGGGCGAAAGCCUGAUCCAGCAAUGCCGCGUGUGUGAUGAAGGCCUUCGGGUUGUAAAGCACUUUUGGCGGGAACGAAAAGGACUGUGCCAAUACCACGGUUCGAUGACGGUACCCGCAGAAUAAGCACCGGCUAACUACGUG
rnacentral:rRNA from 1 species